UAAAGUCAGAAGAGUUAUGGAUUUUUAAGUA
rnacentral:piRNA from 2 species